AACACACGAACGCACAUGCACACACACACAUAUACAUAAUGGUCCUUUUACAAAUGUACACACUGUGACAUAAUGAAUUCUGAGCCUCUUUCCCCAACCUUUUUACCUGACCCUGAAACCAGGUAUCAACCUUCAAACAUUUAGGUAAUAAUGCAAAAGCAGAUAUGCACUCAACACAAUGUUUUUUUUAAAACUGAAAUAGGUACUUUACAAAGAAAACAAGAUAUGCAAACACUGUUAAUUGGAAUAGGACUGUACAGCAAGUUGGGUGAAUUUUUUCUCCCCAGACUUUUGCUGGAAACAGCUCUGUAAAUUGUGGCUUUCAACCAGCUGGGACUAUGCAUUCGGAUCUUACUUUUUCCUCCAAAAUGAGUUUGCACUGAGAGGGUACCUUGAAUGUUAAGGGUUAAUGAUGAUGGAAAGGGACUGCAUUGCAUAUUUUAGAAGUCUAGCUUCCAAAAGUCCAGUGACUAAAACACGUGUUGUAACACCCCAGCUGUCAGGAGCUGCUGUCCUGCUGAUGACUGGGAAGAACAUGAGAAAGUGCAGAGGGAGGAGAGGAGGAAAUGCUCUAUUUAUUUACUGAGUAGUCAGGGCACUAAGUUAGGAAGACUUUCACAUAACCUACCCAUAUAUAAUCAACACCGGUCCUCCCCUGGGACCAAGAGACCAUCCAUGUUUCCCAGGGUCAGUUUCACAUGGGAGAAGGAGGGGGAGCAAGAGGAGUUAAGACAUAGCCCAUGGAAGACUUCAUGAAAAUACCCCGGACUCAGAAGAUGUAAACAACCCCCAACCAGUUCAACUCUUAUAACCACACAAACCACUUUAAACCAAAGUUUUACCAUUCAUACAGUGCUUUUAUGUGCAGCACUUUCUCUAUUGUGCAUCAUUCAUACACUGCUGGCACAGCUGUCAGGGGCAAUUUAUGGUUAAGUAUCUUGACCGAGGAUCCUUCAGAUUGUGAAAUGUGGGAAUAUGGGGAUCAACUUUCUGGUCAGGGGACAAACUGCUCCAUCUCCUAAGCCACAGCCGCCCCCUACUUGACUUGAUAUCUUUCCUUUUCAGCAAGUGUAUAUUUCUCAUCAUUGUCGUGUUAAAACACUGAACCAUCAUAACAGCCAUAACUUCCUGUGCCCCUGGACUCCCACCAAAAAUCCUCUCUAAGUUCCUUACAGCACCCCCUAAUAACAGCCUUAAUGUUCUGCGUUGCACUCCACUAUGACAGGGUCCUGUAGCUCUGAUCAAGCACCAGUGUUUGACUCCCUGUUCAGCAUUGCCAUUUUUGUGUCGUACAAUGACUGUUUCUGUGUCUUUGUGUACGAAACUUUGACAACACCACUUACUAAGUCACUGCACUAUUAAAUCAUUUUAUACAUACAUAUACAUUCAAAUAUAAUUUUUUUACAUACAUGAGAUUGUGUGUAUGUGUGUGUGAGUGUGUGUGUAGUUUGACAGACAGAUGGAUACAAAUUGAGAAAGGGCUUCCUGUGUGUGUUUUACAGAGCCAAGGAGAAACAGAAAUAUGACCAUAUUAGGCAAUGUUUGGCUCAACAACAGAGAUGGCUCUGACUGUUAUCACAGCCUGUCUUAACAGACACACACACACACGCACGCACGCACACACACACACACACACACACACACACACACACACACACACACACACACACACACACACACACACACACACACACACACACACACACACACACACUCACACUCACAAUCUCACAUAUAUACAAAGUAAAAGAAGACUUACUAGUGCUGUGAUUUUUAUGGAGUUACAGUUUCUGUGUAAUCCGUUCUGGAACACUGCGAAGAAAGAGGUAGGGUGCAAGUAGAUUCGGUUUUGUGCUCUCCUUAAAUGGUAAAAAACGUGUAAAUCUGAUCCUCCUGUGGUAUGGCUGACAUUUGUCUCACACAAUUUUCCAUCUUAAGCCAGCAUAGAUGACAAGGAUCAUAGACAUAAUUAUCUACACAUACCAGGCUUAGAAAGAAUAGUACAACUGCUAGAUUUAUACCUACACAUAGAAUAUACACACAAGCUCACUUAACUGCAUCUGUCCCCUCAGAGCGCUGCCUAUGUGUGCUCAUGCCUAGAAACAGAGAAACAGGCAUCAGGUGAUGUGAACAAAACAGACCAUGUAAGAGCAAUACACACACAAACACAGACACAUCGGCGUAAUGCAGUCCAUAGCCGUUUACCCUCCCCUAAACACUUAUUUAAGCCCUAUGAGACAAAUUGUGAAUUGCUGAUAUGGGCUGAUAUGAUGAUUGAUUGAUUGAUAACUAAAUGCCUAACCCUAACAUAUAAACUACUGUCAGCCCCAUCGUCUGUUUUGAUACUAGGGUGAAACAUGCAGGUGCUUAACAGAGUUUUGCGAGUGGAGCCUGAGUGUCCCUCAAACCGCACACACCUCAGCUCCACAGUUAAGCCAUAAUCCACAUCUGAGGAUCCUCUCUUUGAACCAACAAGUAAACUUUGAUUCUCAUUUCAUAUUUAGCUAAAACAUACAAAACAACAGAGAGCUUCACAACUUGAAUAAUUAUUGUCCUAGUAUUUGAUUUCCAUUGCCUUACUAAAUUUAAUUAAAUGUAUUAUUACUGAGAAUGUUUUCCUUUUUACAGUAUUCCUGGCAUGCAAUUUAAAACCAUCCGUACCUGGGUAGCGGCUCUUUUUAAAUGGGAAUAAAGUGGGGUUGAGGAGAGUGAACAGGAGUGGCCAAUGCCUGGAUAAGAAGAGGCUAGAGGAAUUGAACUCGGCCACUCCCCUCCUGCUCUGCACUUCCUCACUCCUCUGAUUCCUUCACCGGCUCCACCCACUGACGCACCUGUCUUCCAUCUUCUCAUUAGUCUCCCCUGUAUAUCUGCAUGCCUGUUCCCUUUGUCCUCUGCCAGAUCUUUUAGUGUGUACGUGCCUAAUCUGUCCAGUGUUUACCUCCUGAUUCCUUUCCUGCCUGAUCUCCACCGUGACCUGUCUGCUUUUUCUCUGGACUCCUCUUCUGCCUGCCCCUUGUCGGUUUUGUUUGCUUCGGACUGACUACCUGGCUCCUGACCACUGCUCUGUCUACCCUGGAUUAUCUCUGGCCGGCUCCUUAUUGGAUUUGUUUGCAUCGGACUGAUUGCCUGGUAUCUGACCCUUGCUACGUUCCAAUAAACCACGAACUUUGCUUAUUCCCACUCUGCCUCAUUGUCGUUUGCUUUUGGGUUCACGCCUGUCAUUCUGCCAGCCCUAACAUGUUCUAUUGUAUGAAAGGUUUAAAGCCAUUAACUAUAAGUUCCUCUCACUGUUUUCGGUAUUAAACUGAUAAAACAGGAAGAAGUUGUCCACUAACAAUGGGUACUAAAGGGAUUGCGUCAACCCCCUCCUAUUCUCCUCCUCCAGUUGAAUCGGAAAAAAAACGUUAACAUCUUCAUCUCUCAAUCUUAUGGGCGAUUUGAUUAACUGAAAUUAACCAGUGUUAAACAACAUGGUUUACCCUGCAGGUGCCAAAGAUCCACACAGAGUUUGGAAAAUCUGCUUUUUCUUACUGUAUUCAAGGUACACGUGUAAGUUGCAUGUGAUAGUAACUAAGUUUCACAAAUAUUCUGAUACAGGCUGGUAUAUCCACCAUUACUACUGCAUCUCGUUUAUUUAGCCUGUUAUGGAAUUUUGGAGUGAAUUAGACAGUUUAGACAGUUCUCAUAAUUAUAUAAUUAUGUUUUCACACUGAGGGAAGUGGAGAGACUUGAUGUGGACUGUUAUCAACAGCUCUGCUGGAGAUUAUCACCUUGAAUAUUACAGAUGAGGUAGAAAGACAUUUUAUCUAUUUGUAAAAUGUUUUUUUCUUUCAGUACUUUUAUCCCAAGCGACUUAAAAUAUGUGGAUUUAACCAUGAGGGUACAAUCACAGAGCCCAGUACAUCGAUUCUGUCUGACAUCUGUGGUGCUUCAUACACAACACAAAACAUUCUUUAUACUGAGUGUCUUCUUUUCAUUAGAUGAAGAACUGCAGCACCUAAUGUCCUCAGCCGCAACAUAGUGGAGAUCGGCAGCUUCAGGCUGGUCAACAUGAGGACGACUGCACCAGCUUCAUGUUUUCUGCAACUGUUUAAGGUUGGCAGAAAUUGCUAAGUGUCAUGGAUAAUAGAGUUAAUUUCUAUAGUCAUUAUGGUUGGUUAAAAAAUUGACACAUUAGAACAAUGUGUAUCUUCUGCUUUCUGAUUUGAUACACUUUAGAUGUUUGAUAAGAACCCAGUGUUUUAUUUUUCUUCUUUGCCAUAAGAGACAGAACACGGUCAUCAAAGCUGUGUCCUUCAGGCUUGUCAGUCCCUGAUAAAAUGAUAGGAAAUAUCAAAGUAUGGCAUUAUUGUAGAGGAAGUGUUACUUAUGAACAAAGUUUGUAUCCAUAUUUUCUGUGGAUAUUCAACUAUGUAUAUGAAUAUGCUUUUGGAUUAAACUGUGCACUACCAAGACAA